GAAAGACCAGAGCUAACAUGGGGUUAGCUCAUUAAAUUACAAUAAAGCCUCAUGCAGUUUGCAUCAAGCUCUCGAAUCUGCCUGGUGAUUAGGGUGACCGCGAUCAUGGCCUGGGACCCCGGAUUCCUGAGUUUUCCGGGGGUCUAACAUUUGGGGGCAUGUCCGCCAUUUGCGACCACCCCUCACCUGAGUGGAUUCAAUCUUGGAGCUGUUAGAAUCUGUCUCCAUACUAACCACCCCAUCCCUGGAUUCCACCUCAACUGUGAUCGGCAGAUGUGCCAGGAGGAUUACAGACUGCUGCUCUGAGGACACCCAGGAGGAUCCACCACGCCACCCCCUUUCUAUCCCCACCUGCGGGUCUGUGAGGCAUGCCAAGUGGGGCUGUUUCUGCCCCAGCUGCCGUCCUGCCUGCCUCGGGAGUUUCCCUGCUCUGAGGGAACAUGGCUACAAGGCCGCCAUCUGCCUGGCUGCCCGGCCUUCUCUGUGCUCCACACACAUGGUAUGCAGGGGGG
rnacentral:lncRNA from 1 species